UACGUAGGGUGCGAGCGUUGUCCGGAAUUAUUGGGCGUAAAGAGCUCGUAGGCGGUUUGUCACGUCGGAUGUGAAACCCCGGGGCUUAACUCCGGGCCUGCAUUCGAUACGGGCUGACUAGAGUUCGGCAGGGGAGACUGGAAUUCCUGGUGUAGCGGUGAAAUGCGCAGAUAUCAGGAGGAACACCGGUGGCGAAGGCGGGUCUCUGGGCCGUAACUGACGCUGAGGAGCGAAAGCAUGGGGAGCGAACAGG
rnacentral:rRNA from 1 species